ACAGAGGGUUUGAUUAUGGCUCAGAUUGACGCUGGCGGGAUGUUUACACAUGCAAGUCGAACGGCAACACGGACUUCGGGUCUGGUGGCGAGUGGCGAACGGGUGAGUAAUGUAUCGGAACGUGCCUAGUAGCGGGGAUAACUACGCGAAAGCGUAGCUAAUACCGCAUACGCCCUUCGGGGGAAAGCGGGGACCUUCGGGCCUCGCACUAUUAGAGCGGCCGAUAUCGGAUUAGCUUAGUUGGUGGGGCAACGCUCACCAAGGCGACGAUCCGUAGCCGGCUUUGAGAGGACGACCAGCCACACUGGGACUGAGACACGGCCCAGACUCCUACGGGAGGCAGCAGUGGGGAAUUUUGACAAUGGGGGGAAACCCUUGAUCCAGCCAUCCGCGUGCGAUGAAGGCCUUCGGGUUGUAAAGCACUUUUUGGCAGGAAAGAAACGGCACGGGAUAAUACCCCGUGCAACUGACGGUACCUGCAGAAUAAGCACCGGCUAACUACGUGCCACAGCCGCGGUAAUACGUAGGGUGCAAGCGUUAAUCGGAAUUACUGGGCGUAAAGUGCGCAGGCGGUUCGAAAGAAAGAUGUGAAAUCCCAGAGCUUAACUUUGGAACUGCAUUUUUAACUACCGAGCUAGAGCGUGCCGGAGGGAGUGGAAUUCCGCGUGUAGUGCAAUGCGUAGAGGUGCGGAGGAACACCGGAUGGCGAAGGCAGCCUCUGGGACAACACUGACGCUCAUGCACGAAAGCGUGGGGAUAAACAGGAUUAGAUACCUCUGUAGUCCACGCCCUAAACGAUGUCAUUCAUUGUUAGCCUCGGGCCUUGGUAGCGCAGCUAACGCGUGAAGUUGACCGCCUGGGGAGUACGUCAAAGACUAAACCAAAGAAUGAUUGUAUCUUAACAAGCGGUGGAUGAUGUGGAUUGACUCGAUGCAACGCGAAAAACCUUACCUACCCUUGACAUGUCUGGAAUCCCGAAGAGAUUUGGGAGUGCUCGCAAGAGAACUGGAACACAGGUGCUGCAUGGCUGUCGUCAGCUCGUGUCGAGAUGUUGAGUUAAGUCCCGCAACGAGCGCGCAACCUCGUUAGCGUUACGAGGGGCACUCUGAUGACUGCCGGUGACAAACCGGAGGAAGGUGGGGAUGACGUCAAGUCCCCGCAGUCUUAUGGGUAGCUUCACACGUCAUACAAUGGUCGGGACAGAGGGUCGCCAACCCGCGAGGGGGAGCCAAUCCUGAACCGAUCAGUCCUGGAUCGCAGUCUGCAACUCAUCUGCGUGGAAGUCGAACCGCUAGUAAUCGCGGAUCAGCAUGUCGCGGUGAAUACGUUCCCGGGUCUUGUACACACCGCCCGUCACACCAUGGGAGUGGGUUUUACCAGAAGUAGUUACUCAACCGUGCGAGGGCGAUUACCACUGCAGGGGAUUCAUGACUGGGGUGAAGUCGUAACAAGGUAG
rnacentral:rRNA from 1 species